GCGCCGGUGGUGUAAUGGCGUAGAGCAUUCCCGCGCCCGGUCAGAGGGAGGUGCGGGUUCGAGUCCCGCCUGACGCU
rnacentral:tRNA from 1 species